CCCGCGUACCGCAAAAAAAAAAAAAAAAAAAGAAAAUGGUCCGCUUUUAACCCCAGGGACAAGCACCACGCUCUGAAAGAUGCUGGAGGAAGGAGAUGGAAGGAAUCAAGGCCCCUGAAUGACCUCAUGGAGCGGAGCCUCCACACCAGCGUGGGCUGUCGGUCCAUCUCUGGACUACGUUCCAUUAGAGAGAUGAAGCUCUCCCCUAUUCGUCACGAUAUUCUGGAGUCUCUUUGUUACAGCAGUUCAGCUUUAUCAUAACUGAAACAGACACAUGGGAUUACGCACAUGGGGAAUCACUGCGGUUCCACACAGCGGGGACAGAAGUGACAUUUGUCUUCUAUGUUCACUGCUGCAGCCCAGAGGACGGAACUACUGGUAUCUGCACAUGAGUAGGAAGCAGGGUGAACCACUGGAGAGAAUGGUGCCCAGAACAGGGGCCCAGCUGAUGUGAGCAGAGGAAGUUGAAAACAGUCAUCGUGGAGAAAUAGCAGAGUGAGCGCAGGACCACGCUGGGAAGAAAGGGGCAUCCUGAAAGGCUCGCUAAUGAGGCUGUUACAGUAACGAUCCACCCGAGACUCUACCGUACCUUCCCGAACGAUCUGUCUGUUGCUGUAAACGGGGUCGGUCUGAGAUGGCCGGUCCUUUAUCUAUCAGUUGCCGUUCCUGUCGUCGAUGCGUGUGGACCGUCCUUUGUGGACACCAUCCGUCCUGGACUUCAUCUAGUCAUCCACGGGCUUCGGACAUCUUCAGUUUCACAAACUCAUAGAUUGAUGUACACAUGUAAUCGGUGAGGAACCUUGUCCAGACCAGGAGACUGGGACCCACAAUGAGCUUCGAAAGAGAGGUUUUAUACUCCUUUCUCUAUUACUAUUAACCUUGUGUAUCCCCAAAACAAGAAAGCUUGGGCCCUGAGAACAGGUCUUCUGAGCCCUGGCUCUGCCGCUUACAAGCCCUGCGACCUUGAGAAGGCUACAGGGAGCGUCCCACAAGCCAAGAACCGUAAUCUCAUCUUAUAAAGGGAGAUAAGCGCCCUACGGUGCCUGCCUCGUACGCCAGUGUGGCCGCUGAGCGGUAAGAGGUACACGGUGCUCUCACGGUCACAGCAGGAGUGCAGCUGACCAUUCACAGUUCCGGGCAAACAUAAGACGGCGUGUAGGUUCAAAAUGCCUGUUUCCUAAGCGGGGGCUGAUUCCUUCUGAUGCUGUGAUGAGGGAUUUGUCUUAAUCCCCCUGGUGUGUCUGCUUCUGGCCUUUCCCACCUGUGCUUUUCCAAGCUGCCCCUGGGAAGCUACUUGUGGGAUCAGACUGGAUUUUUGAAAAUAAUUUCUCCCUUUUCCUUUUCAUUAGGACCACGUGAAGUUGCAUCGCCUAAAUUGUGCACUGAGAAUGUCUCUUGGGAGUUGUUUCCCUCUGGCUUUAUCAAAGCACCUGCUUCAUAAGGCCUGCCUCCUUGGAGCCUGGGACACGUCUGACCACCCAGCUCGUCCUCCGUGACACAACUGUCCCCUGUACCUCUGCUCGGACUUCCCCCGAUAAACCGCUCCCAUCUCCUUCCUUACUGGCUUCCCCUGAUGACCCACGGAUUUCCCUGCAGUCACAGGCCUUUUGCUGGGGGCUCAGCAAGUACAGCAUCGUUCGUUCUGACUCCCCCAUCCAUCCGUCUCUCUCAAUCUGCUAAAACUUUCUUAGUCGCUCUCUAACCAUGACUCAUCUCACCAAGCAAAACGGGUAAAGCCAUGUUAUCAACUAUGUUGUCAUUUUAAGUUUACAACCCACGGAAUACUUAUUCACCGGCGGAUGUCGACGGCUAAGCAUGUUGAUUUAAACACCCUUUUCCAAUUAUGUCAUUAUGGGAAUAACUGGACACAUUUUGAAUCUUAAUUAUCUUUUUAUGCUAUACCGUAGGCCAUAGGAGAGGGAUGACAGCUUUCUUUGGACUGACACCCUAGCUUGUACACAGGGUUCAAGUCACAUGAGCUGAGAUCAGUUUUAAGUUCAAAGAAUAUAUGUUUUAACUUCCUGAGGAAGCAGAGACCAUGAUUUUACCAAGUUGCCACGUUAAUCAAACAGAGACACAGCCUUGAAGGGGAGUGAGUUCACAAUCAGAGCUCAGGCAGGUCAACAGUGUGUCCCGUGAGAACGGCGGCCACCAGGGGUGUGCCAUUGCUUUCGGAACCUGCGUCAUUAAAAAUACAUCUUCUCUUCUUCUCAAGUGUUCCCCUUGGUUGCUCAAAAUUUCUUCACAGAAGAAAUACAAAGAAGAAGAAAAAGUAAUACAUAGCACACGAAAUCAAAGAACCAGGGUUUCGUUUAGAAGAAUGCAAAACUGUAUUUACUGUGAUUACGAUUCAGAAAAACUGGCAGCCUCCAAUUUCUUUUCUGCAAUUCAAUUAACCUUAUGCGUACCUUUCUGCUUUAAGGUGUUAAUUUUUUCCACUCAAGAGAAAACAAAAGGAGAAUGAAAUAAAUUAUGAGAAUAUGAAAUGUAACUGAUUAAAAAAAUGGAAGAGAUUGGCAUUUCUUCCUCGGGGAACAUUUGUCUUAGGGGUCACCUUUCAAUUCUUCCAACUGCUGUCUUCAGAAGGACCUAAAUUAAUUCUGGAUAUUAUUUUCAUUUUUUUGAAGAAAUUGGCUCAAUUUUUCUCACAAUCAAGGAGUUGGAACUUGAUUUUGCAUAAGAUAUGAGCGCUGCAUCUGGAAAAGAACUGCCCCAUCUCCCAAAUAAUUAGGAUAAGUUCAAGUAGAUCAUAAGUAACAGACGCUUAAAUACCCCUCACACUUACAAGGAAAUCUUCAGAUAGAACAGUAAUAUACAGUCUGCAGCCAAGGUGGUUCAAGGUCAGUUUCUCCUUCCAGAUGCAUCUGCAGACAGUCAGCAUCUCCCCACCACUGGACCCUCUACAAAAAGCACAUCUAGAGAUACGCAAGCUGUGGAUGAAAUGCAGCGGGUUUGCUAGGGGCACGUGUUUUAUAACAUGCAUGUGUAACUGAUGGAGUUGGGACCGAUCAGGUGUGAAUAUAACGUAAAAGCUGCAGCGGGCGUGGACCAAUGUCUCUGGCACACAAGGGUUGUAAGUCACGACACUAAACACAAAAGGCUAACACAAGUGAGCAGGGCAGGACGCAGAGGCGUGCUCUUCCAUAAACGAUGCCCUCUGACCCCACGCUGUCCCUCUUGGUCCCGUUUGGUCACAUGUUCUGCCUUGAAAGUGUCUGUUGCACGCGUCUCCGGAUCUUUGUCAAAAGGAACAAGCGCAGACAGUGGUCCAGAACGGCCAGCGCUGGCAUCGCUGCGUUUGCCUGUAACCAUCCACCUCUGUCCUCGUCUCCAAGGCCAGGCACCUCCACCCGUCCUCCCCUGGUCUUUCAUCAAGCCGCCUUUGCCUUCCUCUUUAUUAAAGUUCUGUGUGUACCGCAGCUUACUUCAUCUAUCAGGAAUUUCAUACGCCCUUUCUGUGCAAGGAUCUUAAUUAGGAUUUUUUUUUUUUUUUUGCUUAGUGUUCCGGUUACAAAAUUUCCAAGGUUUUGAGUAUUCUAUCCCAACCCUACAUCUUCCCAAAUCCUUGCUAUUUUCAGUGGAUGAGUUUGCAGGAUGCAUACUUCACAGUAACACACCUGCACCGCCAAUCCAUUCCUGAAAACUUCAAAGGUAAAACAGCUCACUGCAUUCAGUGUCUCACUAACUUUUAACCCAGUUAUGGUGGUGGAUGUACGGAGUUAUAAUUCAUGUAAUUAAAAUAUAUUCGUUUCUUCAUAGUUCACAGUUGUUACUAAAACUUUGAGGAGUUUAUAAUUAUUCACUUACCUAGACAUUUAGGUACAAUUGCUAUAAUUUGUGAUGUAAUGUUUAGCCCUUAGGAACAAAACUUUCUGCCUGAAUGGGAGCCUCUUCAAUUUCCCCUGCAACACCUCUUUAAACUGGGUAUUCUGAUCUUUUCCCAGAUAGUUAUUUUCAGCUGUGUCUCUGAUUACUGCUUCCGUUUCUGCUGUUCCAUUCUGCCCCUCUGGAACAUCUAAAAUACUGAAGUUCACACUGGUUUCCUAGUGGUCCAUAUCCAUUAGCUUUCAAUGAGGUUUGAGUCUAGACUGACCCAGAUCCCUCUUCUGCGCUCCAGGCCCCUGGGUCCUGUAUCUACCCAGCACCCUACUGUGACUACCUCGAAGACACGUCCAUGUCACCUUGUGCAGCCAGUACCUCUUGCCGUGUUCCCUACCCCAGAAAUGGCGUCCUCCCAGCUGAGCAAGCCAAGAGCUGGCAGUCAGCUCUGACAUUCCCUGUUCCUCCUUCCCCACAUCCUGUCUAUCACCAAGUCCCAUUAAUCUCCCUUUAAGCAGUCCUCAAAUGACUCACAUCUCUUUGUCUCCACCGCCACCCACCCUCCUGACGCAGGCUGCAGUCUUGGACUUGGGCCACCGCAGCAGCCCGUCUCUGGACCCUCCAAAUGCAAUGGCCAAAGUGACCCUGAAGAGACACCAGACUGAGCACAUCACCAACCCCCAUCUAAACUCUUCCAGAAAACUGGGAGUGGAAGAAAAUGUCUUCAAUGUGGUAAAGGCCACAUUCCCAAAACAUUUAGCAAAUAUCACACUUAGUGGAGAAAACUUAAAAUCAGAAGCAAGGAUUCUUCCUUAACAUCACAACUGUUAAACAAAGGUCCUUACCAAUGCAGUGAGAUAAAAGAAGGAGAGGGAGGAGGGGGAGGGGAGG